AAACUGAAGAGUUUGAUCCUGGCUCAGAUUGAACGCUGGCGGAAUGCUUUACACAUGCAAGUCGAACGGCAGCACGGGAGCUUGCUCCUGGUGGCGAGUGGCGAACGGGUGAGUAAUACCUAGGAACAUGUCCAGUAGUGGGGGAUAACGCAGCGAAAGCUGUGCUAAUACCGCAUACGCCCUACGGGGGAAAGCGGGGGAUUCGCAAG
rnacentral:rRNA from 1 species